rnacentral:lncRNA from 1 species
CUAGUGUACUAGUACUUCGCCUGCACUCAUUUGUAACACGUCACACAUACUUAUCAGAAAAAAUUAUACAGUUGUCAGUGUAAAAUAUUAUCGUGUUCACUUUUCAAUAUGGGCUUUUAUGUGUACAGUAUGGUGUGUAUUAUAUUAGCGAUACGGCUAAACAAUGAUAAAGAAGUUGUUGUUGCGACGCUAUGGAAAUCGUCGACUCAAACAAGCUGUGUUUAGAUACUUGCAGGUCCGCCGGUCCGCCGAACUGCUACUCUCACUGUUUACUUGUUUGAACACAAAUUCUUUAUCCGGUCGGCUAUUUCCGCUCCAGCUUGAUUAGCAUCUUUCAGAGCCAGUAAGUGAACAAGAUGGGAUCCGGCGAAGGUCAAGGUCGUGGCGGACUCUGCCCUGGGAUACUGUGGGGCAUCCUGUGGUUUCUCAUCUUUUGGUUCUUGGCGUGGCCGAUUGGUUUCUUCAUCGCGUGGUUGUACGUGUUCCUCCUGCCUUUCUCCGCAUGCAUAGAACCACUGAAGGGCGUCUGUGAAGCCAUUCUCAAGGUCGUCCAGCUGCCACUGACGUGCAUCGAGAACAUGAUCGCCAUGAAACCUCUGUGCGGAUAACCCACAGCGACCUUUAGUACUUAGCUUUUUACUCGUUACCCACAGACAACUAAACGAUAUAGGAUAUUCAGCUUUGAACUCAUCGGUAUAGAGUAUUUCAUUACACCGUGAAACAGGAAGUUUCUACAAGUAGACUUUUGAUCAACAGUACUGGAAAACAAACAGGACAAAAUGAUACUUUUUAAAAAAGAAAUACUAGUUAAGUAUAUUACAAAGGAAGCGACCCACUGAGAGACCAUUUUUGAACAAAACCCUAUCAGUUUAUGACGAUUUAAUCAAACUGUGAAGUAGUUUACUGCCCCUUAUUAAAACAUACGUAUAAUGCAUAUAUGUAGUGGAAACCAGUAUUAAAUACUGAUUAGCAGCGAUCAAGGUAUUGCAUUCAAACAUAGUGUCGGUUCUUGCAGAUGCUUAAGUGCUGAUUAUUUUCGGUUAACCGAGUUUCAUCACGUAUUUAUUUCAACACAGGAAACAAGAACAUGAAUGCAGAUGUAACCACAACGAGGUUUAUUGGAAACACUGGCUAUUAAAUCAUGUAUACAGUGAAUGUCAGUCGUUGAAGGUAACACGAGAGAAGCUGUUUGCUAUUCCAAGGAAGCAGACGAAUCCAAAAAUUAAAUAUAUAAAUGCAUAUACAUAUACGCUUUCGAGUGUCCGUGGUUUUAUUGGGACACGUGCUCAAUGAAUGGACAACCCAAAAUACAGCAGUAGCAUACUAAAUAGAGGUUCGUACUCCGCCUCUGUAUACUACUAUACUGUAAACCUGUACACCUAUAUGCCAUCUUAAAAACAAACUGCAAAGAAAAGUAUUUCAGUUUUAUUAGGAUUUUAUAUACGAAUAUAUUAUCUUUUGUUUAAACCAUAAACAUGCAUUCCAAAAGUAAAAUAAACUAACAAAAGUGGGUUUAAAAAAAACUAAGAAACAAAUUUUAUAGAGAAAGAAAAAUGUUUACUUUGUUAAUAUAAAUUCAGAAAAUUGGCUUUGCACCUUUGAAAAACCAUUACUUAAGGCGAACCAUUUGUAAAAACAAAAAUAUAUAAAUCACAUGGCGUAUUUUGCAAUGUCUUGGGUAUACCAACACCUAAUCAAAAACAUUAUGAACACAACUGGCGGAUCGUCACUCUUUAUUUUUUGUGCAGAUAUCUCGAACAUUUACUAUUACAUACGCAAAUCCUUCCAAUUGUGUGGGUCCACUCACCACUGGCGACGAUGGAUUUUCUCCGGUUUCUAAACUACACGACUCAUUUUCAAUAAUUAUGCAGUACACCUCAUUAGGAUAAUAAUAUCCAUAAGUGUCACUAGAAGAACAAUUUUUUAAAUUAUGUUUUUGUGUAGAAAUCUUCGAAAUGAUGUUCAUAUGUACUUUGGUAUAGUGGACAUAGUCCAAGUAUUAAGAAUCGAAGUCAUAAACAUUGCAAGUACGAAACAAAAGAACUACAUGUAAACAUUGAAACGGCCACAGAACGUGUCUUGUGUAAAUAUAUAUUAUUAUAUGAA